CAGCCGCCACGGUAAUGCGAAGGGUGCAAGCGUUACUCGGAAUUACUGGGCGUAAAGCGUGUGUAGGUGGUUGUUUAAGUCUGUCGUGAAAGCCCUGGGCUCAACCUGGGAAUUGCGAUGGAUACUGGGCGACUAGAGUGUGGUAGAGGAUAGUGGAAUUUCCGGUGUAGCAGUGAAAUGCGUAGAGAUCGGAAGGAACAUCUGUGGCGAAGGCGACUAUCUGGGCCAACACUGACGCUGAGGCACGAAAGCGUGGGGAGCAAACAGGAUUAGAUACCCCAGUAGUCCCUGUCUCUUAUAC
rnacentral:rRNA from 1 species